GAUGAACGCUGGCGGCGUGCUUAACACAUGCAAGUCGAACGGUGAAGCAGGAGCUUGCUCUUGUGGAUCAGUGGCGAACGGGUGAGUAACACGUGAGCAACCUGCCCCUGACUCUGGGAUAAGCGCUGGAAACGGCGUCUAAUAAUGGACAUGUGAUGUGACCGCAUGGUCUGCAUCUGGAAAGAAUUUCGGUUGGGGAUGGCCUCGCGGCCUAUCAGCUUGUUGGUGAGGUAAUGGCUCACCAAGGGGUCGACGGGUAGCCGGCCUGAGAGGGUGACCGGCCACACUGGGACUGAGACACGGCCCAGACUCCUACGGGAGGCAGCAGUGGGGAAUAUUGCACAAUGGGCGGAAGCCUGAUGCAGCAACGCCGCGUGAGGGAUGACGGCCUUCGGGUUGUAAACCUCUUUUAGCAGGGAAGAAGCGAAAGUGACGGUACCUGCAGAAAAAGCACCGGCUAACUACGUGCCAGCCGCCGCAGUAA
rnacentral:rRNA from 1 species